GGGAGAGGGAGAGGGAGAAUUGCCUACGAAACGACGAGGAAAAUUAUUUUCGUAUCCGUCCCACUUUCGAGAACCAGUCAACGAUUUACACUUCUGAUACGUCGAUUCCGUGGCCCUUGUGCGACAAUGUACAACAUCCCUCCAUUCCUUAAAAAUGGAAGCAACGAAAAUGCAUUCCGCCUCGGCGGAAUGCGCGCACGUCGCAUAGGAAACGGAGACACCGAUUUCUCCUUUAUUUCUGCUUCGUGGUGAUAUGUCACGACAGAAAUAUCCCUUGUUCGUGAGCUUUGAUAUUCGUAGGUGGACGUAUAUGUAUGUAUGUAUCGAGUAUCGAGAUCUUUUUCUUUGUCAAGUAGUCGUGCAUGUCUUUUUUGAAGAUCUUGAAUUUGGUUUGGUUAGAUGUGUAUACAAUUUCGAGUAUAUAAGAUCUCUUUCUUUGUUUCAGGAAUUAAUGUGAAUAUUAACCGGACACUAAUUCUUAUGAUUACUGAUACAUCAUUUAUCCCCCUGUGAAUUUGAGGACAGAAUAGGCCUAAUUCUUGUGCGUCAUAAAAGGCGAGUAAGGGAAGCCAUCAAUGUGUAAUACUUGACAAAUUUAUGGAGUAUGCAAUUAUGGUGUAUCUGAUAGACAAAGAAUUAAUAAAUAAUUCAAAGUGUGGAAGAAGGAAAGGAUUUAUCGAUAUCCCCGGCAAUUGUGUCAGAAUUCGACGAUACACACGCGUUGGCAACAAAAUGGCGACAAGCCGAGCUGAUUUUAUUCACGACCUUUGUCGCGGAAGUACUUUAGAUGCGGGUGGUGGGCCACAGAGGAAAAAUAGCGGAAAGUUUUCCAUUUUAGAUGGGCCACCGAUAAAGGAAAGAGAGGCACGUAUAAUGG